rnacentral:rRNA from 1 species
AACGUAGGAUCCGAGCGUUGUUCGGAAUCGCUGGGCGUAAAGGGUGCGUAGGCGGGCUUGCGAGUCAAGGGUUAAAGACCUCGGCUCAACCGGGGAAAUGCCCUUGGAACGGUAGGUCUUGAGGGCGGGAGAGGGGGGUGGAAUUCCGGGUGUAGCGGUGAAAUGCGUAGAGAUGAGGAGGAACACCGAUGGCGAAGGCAGCCCCCUGGGCCGCCACUGACGCUGAGGCACGAAAGCGUGGGGAGCAAACAGG